CGGUUGAUCCUGCCGGAGGUCACUGCUAUUGGGAUUCGACUAAGCCAUGCGAGUCGAGAGGGUUCGGCCCUCGGCAGACGGCUCAGUAACACGUGGAUAAUCUGCCCUUAGGUGGAGGAUACCCUCGGGAAACUGAGAAUAAUACUCCAUAGGCCUAGGAUGCUGGAAUGCACCUAGGCUGAAAGUUCCGGCGCCUAAGGAUGAGUCUGCGGACUAUCAGGUUGUAGUCAGGGUAAAGACCUGACUAGCCUACGACGGAUACGGGUUGUGAGAGCAAUAACCCGGAGAUGAUAUCUGAGACACGAUAUCAGGCCCUACGGGGCGCAGCAGGCGCGAAAACUUCACACUGUGCGAAAGCACGAUGAGGGAAUCCCAAGUGCUUGCACGUAAGUGUAAGCUGUUUUUCUGUCUAAAACACAGAGAGAGUAAGAGCUGGGUAAGACGGGUGCCAGCCGCCGCGGUAAUACCUGCAGCUCAAGUGGUGGCCGCUAUUAUUGGGCCUAAAACGUUCGUAGCCGGUUUAGUAAAUGCCUGGGUAAAUCGUGUAGCUUAACUAUAUGAAUUCCGGGUAGACUGCUGAACUUGAGACCGGGAGAGGCUAGAGGUACUCCUGGGGUAGAGGUGAAAUUCUGUAAUCCUAGGGGGACCACCAGUGGCGAAGGCGUCUAGCUAGAACGGAUCUGACGGUGAGGGACGAAGCCCUGGGGCGCGAACCGGAUUAGAUACCCGGGUAGUCCAGGGUGUAAACGCUGCUUGCUUGAUGUUAGUUGGGCUCCGAGCCCNNNNNNNGUCGGAGAGAAGUUGUUAAGCAAGCUGCCUGGGAAGUACGGUCGCAAGANUGAAACUUAAAGGAAUUGGCGGGGGAGCAC
rnacentral:rRNA from 1 species